rnacentral:rRNA from 1 species
GACGAACCGUGCGAACGUUGUUCGGAAUCACUGGGCUUAAAGGGUGCGUAGGCGGGCUGCCAAGUUUGGGGUGAAAUCCUCCGGCUCAACCGGGGAAGUGCCUCGAAUACUGGCGGUCUGGAGGGAGGUAGGGGCGUGCGGAACUAACGGUGGAGCGGUGAAAUGCGUUGAUAUCGUUAGGAACUCCGGUGGCGAAGGCGGCACGCUAGACCUCUUCUGACGCUGAGGCACGAAAGCCAGGGGAGCGAACGGG